UACGUAGGUGGCAAGCGUUGUCCGGAUUUAUUGGGCGUAAAGCGCACGUAGGCGGAUCUUUAAGUCAGGGGUGAAAUCCCAAGGCUCAACCUUGGAACUGCCUUUGAUACUGGGGGAUCUCGAGUCCGGAAGAGGUUGGUGGAACUGCGAGUGUAGAGGUGAAAUUCGUAGAUAUUCGGAAGAACACCAGUGGCGAAGGCGGCUCACUGGACUGGUAUUGACGCUGAGGUGCGAAAGCGUGGGGAGCAAACAGG
rnacentral:rRNA from 1 species